rnacentral:rRNA from 1 species
AAUCAACGCUGGCGGCGUGCCUCAGACAUGCAAGUCGAACGCGAAAGUUCCUUCGGGAGCAAGUAGAGUGGCGCACGGGUGAGUAACACGUAGGUAAUCUACCUUUGGAUGGGGAAUAACAACCGGAAACGGUUGCUAAUACCGCAUAAUGCAGCGGCACCUAAUGGUGACAGUUGUUAAAGCGGGGGAUCGAAAGACCUCGCGUCUGAAGAGGAGCCUGCGGCGGAUUAGCUAGUUGGUAAGGUAACGGCUUACCAAGGCGAUGAUCCGUAGCCGGCCUGAGAGGGCGGUCGGCCACACUGACACUGACAUACGGGUCAGACUCCUACGGGAGGCAGCAGGUCGGGAAUUUUGGGCAAUGGGCGAAAGCCUGACCCAGCAACGCCGCGUGAAGGAUGAAAUCCCU